rnacentral:rRNA from 1 species
GACAGAGGAUGCAAGCGUUAUCCGGAAUGAUUGGGCGUAAAGCGUCUGUAGGUGGCUUUUCAAGUCCGCCGUCAAAUCCCAGGGCUCAACCCUGGACAGGCGGUGGAAACUACCAAGCUGGAGUACGGUAGGGGCAGAGGGAAUUUCCGGUGGAGCGGUGAAAUGCAUUGAGAUCGGAAAGAACACCAACGGCGAAGGCACUCUGCUGGGCCGACACUGACACUGAGGAGCGAAAGCGUGGGUAGCAAACAGG